GACGAACGCUGGCGGCGUGCCUAAUACAUGCAAGUAGGACGCAGUUGCGAACGGGUGAGUAACGCGUAGGUAACUACCUAUUAGAGGGGGAUAACUAUUGGAAACGCUAGCGAAUACCGCAUACUAGUAGAUGGACCUGCGUUGUAUUAGCUAGUAGGUAGGGUAAUGGCCGACCUAGGCAACGAUACAUAGCCGGGCUGGGAGGGUGAUCGGCCACACUGGGACUUGGGCCCGGCCCAGACCCCGUCGGGAGGCAGCAGUAGGGGAUCAUCGGCAAUGGGGGGAACCCUGACCGAGCAACGCCGCGUGGGUGGAGAAGGUUUUCGGGUCGUAAAGCUCUUUUGUUAAGGAAGCGGUACUUAACCAGAAAGGAACGGCUAACUACGUGCCAGCCGCCGCGGUAAUAC
rnacentral:rRNA from 1 species